rnacentral:lncRNA from 1 species
GCCCAUAACUAUAUGGUGCCAUAAAUAAUUAGUGGUAUUGGUUAAGAAGAUUGGUAGCUACAAGGAGUUACAUAACAAUUACAUACCUAUAAUUACCCUAUUUAUUGUGGAAGUUAUAAUUGUAGUUAUUGUGUUGUAAUUUAUCAUUGAUUUUUUUGACUAUAAAUACCAAAGGAACUCUUCUUUGUGGACAUCAAGAGUUGUAAUCAAAUAUUUCAGAACUGAGUUAAGAGUGUUUUG